GAGUGAGCGCGAUAAGGGCAUUCGGUGGAUGCCUUGGCACCAGGAGGCGAUGAAGGACGUAGCACGCUGCGAAAAGCUACGGGGAGCCGCGAGCAGGCUUUGAUCCGUAGAUAUCCGAAUGGGGCAACCCACCCGCAAGGGUAUCGUAGUCUGAAUACAUAGGACUAUGAGGCGAACCCGGGGAACUGAAACAUCUCAGUACCUGGAGGAAAAGACAUCAAUUGAGAUUCUGCUAGUAGUGGCGAGCGAACGCGGAACAGGCCAGUGGUCUUUGGAAGAGAAGCAGAACACUCUGGAAAGGGUGGCCAUAGUGGGUGAUAGUCCCGUAUGCGUAGUGCUUCUGAAGAUCCUUGAGUAGGGCGGGGCACGUGAAACCCUGUCUGAACAUGGGGGGACCACCCUCCAAGCCUAAAUACUCCCUGGUGACCGAUAGUGAACAAGUACCGUGAGGGAAAGGUGAAAAGCACCCCGAUGAGGGGAGUGAAAUAGACCUGAAACCGAAUGCCUACAAGCAGUCGGAGCCUCUUAUGGGGUGACGGCGUACCUUUUGUAUAAUGGGUCAGCGAGUUUCUGUUUGCAGCAAGCUUAAGCCGUUAGGUGUAGGCGUAGCGAAAGCGAGUCUGAAUAGGGCGUUUAGUUGCUGGCAGAAGACCCGAAACCGAGUGAUCUAGCCAUGGCCAGGCUGAAGGUGCGGUAACACGCACUGGAGGGCCGAACCCACGCCUGUUGAAAAAGUCGGGGAUGAGCUGUGGCUAGGGGUGAAAGGCCAAUCAAACUCGGAAAUAGCUGGUUCUCCGCGAAAUCUAUUGAGGUAGACCGUCAGGAAUUUACCCCGGGGGGUAGAGCACUGGAUGGGCUAGGGGGGCCCAAAGCCUUACCAAACCUAACCAAACUCCGAAUACCCGGAAGUAUUAGCCUGGCAGACAGACAGUGGGUGCUAAGGUCCAUUGUCGAGAGGGAAACAGCCCAGACCACCAGCUAAGGCCCCUAAAUCGUGGCUAAGUGGGAAAGGAUGUGGGGAUUCCAAAACAACCAGGAGGUUGGCUUAGAAGCAGCCAUCCUUUAAAGAAAGCGUAAUAGCUCACUGGUCUAAUAGAAACCCUGCGCCGAAAAUGUAACGGGGCUCAAGCCACGUGCCGAAGCUGUGGGUGCAUAUCUAUGAUAUGCGCGGUAGCGGAGCGUUCCGUAGGUCUGUGAAGGAGGCGGGGUGACCCCCUCUGGAGAUAUCGGAAGUGCGAAUGCUGACAUGAGUAGCGACAAACAGUGCGAGAAACACUGUCGCCGAAAGUCCAAGGGUUCCUGCGCAAGGUUAAUCCACGCAGGGUUAGUCGGCCCCUAAGGCGAGGGCGAAAGCCGUAGUCGAUGGGAAUCAGGUGAAUAUUCCUGAACCUGCCAGAAGUGACGAAUGCAAUAUGUUGUCAGUCCUUAUCGGAUUGGACUGGCUUUUGGCGCAUUCCAGGAAAUAGCUCUGGCAUAUAGACCGUACCCGAAACCGACACAGGUGGACUGGUAGAGAAUACCAAGGCGCUUGAGAGAACGAUGCUGAAGGAACUAGGCAAAUUACUCGUGUAACUUCGGGAUAAGCGAGACCCGUUAGUGGGCAACCAUUGGCGGGUGGCACAGACCAGGGGGUAGCGACUGUUUAGUAAAAACACAGGGCUCUGCGAAGUCGAAAGACGACGUAUAGGGCCUGACGCCUGCCCGGUGCCGGAAGGUUAAGAGGAGGUGUGAGAGCACUGAAUUGAAGCCCCGGUAAACGGCGGCCGUAACUAUAACGGUCCUAAGGUAGCGAAAUUCCUUGUCGGGUAAGUUCCGACCUGCACGAAUGGCGUAA
rnacentral:rRNA from 1 species